rnacentral:misc_RNA from 1 species
GAUUCAUAUCAUUGGAUCUUCUCAAUCUACAAUCACUUCUCAGUAUAACUUUGAAGUUUUUAGGGUUUUUGAUGCGAAUUCUUAUUUGAGAAAUCAAAGAGAAUUUUUGGAAUAAUCGGUACGUUUUUGUUUGUUGAAUCGUGUUAGAGAAUCAUCAUCUAGGAAAUCGAAUUAGGAAUUUUUGGUUGAAUAAUGGGGAGUGGAGAUAGAGAAGAUGAUCGGACAUUUAGGGUUAAUUUCACCGCUGAAGGAUUUGCGAAGCUCCGGGAACGAGUUAAUGAGAAACUCAAGGAGUUCAUGGGUGACUACACGGAUGAUACUCUUGUGGAAUAUGUCAUAGUCUUGUUAAAAAAUGGUAGGCGUAAAGAAGAAGCAAGAAAUGAAUUGAAUGUUUUUCUUGGAGAAGACAGUGUCUCCUUUGUUGAUUGGCUAUGGGAUCACCUGGGAUCAAAUAUAGAUCUGUAUGUGCAAC